UACGUAGGGCGCAAGCGUUGUCCGGAAUUAUUGGGCGUAAAGAGCUCGUAGGCGGGUUGUCGCGUCUGCCGUGAAAGUCCGGGGCUUAACCCCGGAUCUGCGGUGGGUACGGGCAGACUAGAGUGCAGUAGGGGAGACCGGAAUUCCUGGUGUAGGGGUGAAAUGCGCAGAUAUCAGGAGGAACACCGAUGGCGAAGGCAGGUCUCUGGGCUGUUACUGACGCUGAGGAGCGAAAGCGUGGGGAGCAAACAGG
rnacentral:misc_RNA from 1 species